ensembl:snRNA
GUGUUAUAUGAAAGGAGAUAAGGUUAGCACUCCCCUUUCCAAAGAUGAAGGAGGUCCUUGGGCCUGCACAACAUGUAUAUGGUUAAGACAUUGCCACGUACUCCACGGCAUCUAACUAUGUUCUUUU